GGCCACACCCAUUUAACCCAGCUCCUUGAAGGCAGAGAUUGGGCCCAUUCUUCUUUGUAGACCCACAGCAGGGCCCAGUGAUGGAAGGACCAACAGACAGAGGGAUGGCCAACCCCUGAUGGCAGACUUGAUGGGAGUUGGCAGGGCAAGCCACCCAAGCAAGGCUCUCCUGUGGGCCGAAGGCAAGGCUCUAAUCUCCCAUGAAAGCCCUGCAAAGUGGGACUGGCUCUGGGCCGAGAAAGGCUUCCCCCCAAGACACCACUGGCUCUGCAUGGGGCUCAAAACAAGGGGCUGGAGACAAAGGAGACCCUCAGGAGAAAAAAAGACCCCCGCCCCCAAGUCUGAUGGAAGACUCAGGGGACCCACCAGCCUGAGGAAGGGGGGAUCCCAUGAUGGACAGAGGAGCCCUCACGCCUUCCUGACAAGAAAGAAGGGCACCGCUGUGAUCCUGCAGCCCUCCUCCACCAUCCUCUCUGAAGGCGACGUGUCCUCACAGGCUACAGCCCACCAGCUGAAGCCUCUGGACCCUUCUGUCCUAUAACCAACCCGGGGCUGUGGAGGUGGCCUGAGGACCCAUAUUUUCAUCCUAACCACCACUUACCAACAGGGAGCAGAGCACGCCCCCAGGAGAAGGACGUGGUAGCUGCACCCCCUUAAAGCCCUUCCUCUGCCUGCCUUUGCCCACCUCACUCCUACAGCUAGAGAAGCAGGAAGGCAGCCAGUCUGGUUGGAGCUGGGGCCGUGAAGGGCAGGGGCAAAGGCACCUUGACACCCUCUUGGUCCC